UACCGAGGUUUUCCUCGGCAGUUAACUACAGCCGAUUUUUUAAUUCCUCGACAGUUAACUGCCGAAGGAGCAA
rnacentral:pre_miRNA from 1 species